AUUGAACGCUGGCGGCAUGCCUUACACAUGCAAGUCGAACGGCAGCACGGGUGCUUGCACCUGGUGGCGAGUGGCGAACGGGUGAGUAAUACAUCGGAACAUGUCCUGUAGUGGGGGAUAGCCCGGCGAAAGCCGGAUUAAUACCGCAUACGAUCUACGGAUGAAAGCGGGGGACCUUCGGGCCUCGCGCUAUAGGGUUGGCCGAUGGCUGAUUAGCUAGUUGGUGGGGUAAAGGCCUACCAAGGCGACGAUCAGUAGCUGGUCUGAGAGGACGACCAGCCACACUGGGACUGAGACACGGCCCAGACUCCUACGGGAGGCAGCAGUGGGGAAUUUUGGACAAUGGGCGAAAGCCUGAUCCAGCAAUGCCGCGUGUGUGAAGAAGGCCUUCGGGUUGUAAAGCACUUUUGUCCGGAAAGAAAUCCUUGGCCCUAAUACGGUCGGGGUGACGGUACCGGAAGAAUAAGCACCGGCUAACUACGUG
rnacentral:rRNA from 1 species